AGUGAUGCAAUUUUAAACACAGGAAGCAGAAUGUGAGUGUGACCUUGUGAGAAGCGCAAUCACUCAAACAAUCAUUGUACUCAAUUUAAAAGGAGCUUUGGUUUAAAUAAAAGUGAAGGCAAGCCUGUGGUCUACAAGAUAAGUCAUUGUUAGUUUGGUGUUUUAUAUGACAAACAAUGAAGGAAGGAGAUUUGUAGAAAUCUCUACUGCAAAGAACCAACAUAGAAGUUCACGAUGACCUUGGUUCCAAACUACAAAGGGGGCAAGAGAGUAGGAGCAACCCACAGUACGUUUUCCAGAAUUACAGUAAUACAUUUUCAAAGAGUAACAGAUUAAUGUCAAGCUUGGAAGUCUUUAAAGCUGCCCCCUUUUCCGAAGUUUGAGGAGGAGGACCCAUGGGCAAACUAAUUACCGGCUGAGAACAACAGAACCGAACAGGACAAUCAGUGGCUGUAAAGUGCAUGCUCACAUUGCUGUCAAAGGUACCCACCAACUUGAGUGCAGUGCAGAUACAGGGAGUCAGAAAAUAGCUGCCACCUGCAAUAGUUCCAAGGAGGAGGAACAUAUAAACAACUAACCAGCAUUUAUCAUCUGGGGCAUGGCGUCACGCCUAGUAGGGGGAAGAGGGAAGGGGGGGGAUCCGGGUGCGUGCUCUGUAUUUUUUUUGUCCAGAGAAUACAAUGCAUGUGCAGACCUAAUGUGAAUGUCAGAGGACUCUGACUUAUUUGGGGGUGACACAAUACGAACAAGUGGACAGAUCCAGACAGGGUCUUCUCUCUGUAAAGUGUAGAAAUUUAUUACAGGGGCACAAAGAAAAAUAGGCAACAUGUCAGGCACACCCUGAACAAAGACAAAGAAGGACAAUGACUGAGGAGCUUAAUAUGUUUUGCCAAAAAAUUGCACUUGUCUUUGUUCUUGUAUCAAAAAGGUGAGCAGUUAAUAAAAGGCUCACUGUAGUGAGUAAUACUGUGAUAAGUAAGUUAGCACAAAUUGACUGAUUCAUCUUUGCCAAAAAUAGUUUUUUCCUUUGUGCACAAACAACUUUAUUAUUAUUACUGUUCUACAAUAUGUGAUUGCAUAUUAUUUCAAGUUUGACAUUUUUUUUGGGAUUCGGGGGUCUGAUUAUUUAAAGGGGGGCACAACAGUACAAAAUACAGAAAAAACAGAAGAGAACUGAUGCAGUACCACAGCAACAUACAGUAAAUGGGCUAAUCUGACACAUUUGGUGUGAUGGAAAAGAUCAAAGCUCUUCAGGAUGCAAAAUUCAAAACAUGUCAAAAAUUUGAAUUUGUGGUCUGAUGAUUAAUAGACAAGAAUAAAAAAGGAAUGGCAAAAAAUAAAACGGGUCAUGCUGAACCCUAAAAUGAAAAAAGAAACCAUUGUAUUUUCCAAAUAUAUACAGGUUGGUCUUAUUGAAAAUGAUUCGUAUAGAUACGGACAGAUGUAUGAAUUAGAAAUUCUAGAAUAGCUGUUUAAAUUUUAAAGUAUUUCUUGGUUUGUUAAAAAGACAUUUUAAACACAUUGAGACAAAUUUAAAAUGCCAACUUCUUUUUCACAGGGUUUUAGUUACCAGUGAGAUAAAUAGGUUCAAGUUUGUUUUAAACCAAAUCCAACCCUGUGACCUAAGCAUGUCUCUGACAAAACAAAACAAAAAGAAAACUCCCAAUGAUCUCACACUGACUGCAGCCUGUUGCUUUGGCAACAAGAUCAUCAGGGGAAUACAUGGAAAAUGUCAUAAACAAUUAAACAUCAAUGGGCUCCCUGUCUAUUCAAACCUAAGAGCUUGUGAUUUAGACAUCCGACACAAGUUUGUACUAAAAUUACACCUGGGUUUCGAAAGAAGAUGAUUCCACUAUUUUUAGUGUUUAAACAUAAAGUCAGGGGAGCAGCAAAGGUUUAUCACUCAUCUCCUCUUUAUGUAAAUAAUAAUGGAUAUUCAGAACAAAACUACUUCUUCAGUUUCCUAUUUUGUUACAUAAUGACUUACUUAAAUUACCACAUUUAUCAGUAAAUCUGAACUUUUUCCUCUUUGACACAUUGGUUAUUUAUGUUCAAAUAAUCUUAAAGCACAUAAUGAAAGUAUAGUGAUAUGUUGUACUUUAAUAUUUUAGGUUUUGCAUAAAAUCCAGUUAUUAAGGAGUUAGAAUCAGAUUUUAUUUUUAAGUUGAUGCUGUUUCUGUUUUGAGUUGGGUUUAAUUUGAUACUUUUUCCAAUAUCCAGAGGAUUGUACUAUAUAUGUGUGUUUUCAGUGAGACAAAUGUGUGACCUUGAUUGGA